UCUCAAAAAUCAGUCUUAUAAGCAUAAGUUGUGACAACUAUACUGUCACAGCCUUCCAGACAGCAACACCCUCUUUAUCAUGUGGCCGGUCUGUACCCUGCCGCCGCCACAGUCUCAAUGGUCCCACAAUACCAUUCGGCCAAAUGUACCUGUGGCAUCUCAUCCUGACCCACCCCCCACGCCACUCUCUAGGCUUGGCAUUUGUGUAUGCAAGUGA
rnacentral:lncRNA from 1 species